UACGGAGGGGGCUAGCGUUGUUCGGAAUUACUGGGCGUAAAGCGCACGUAGGCGGCUUUGCAAGUCAGAGGUGAAAGCCCGGGGCUCAACCCCGGAAUUGCCUUUGAGACUGCAUCGCUAGAAUUGUGGAGAGGUAAGUGGAAUUCCGAGUGUAGAGGUGAAAUUCGUAGAUAUUCGGAAAGAACACCAGUGGCGAAGGCGACUUACUGGACACAUAUUGACGCUGAGGUGCGAAAGCGUGGGGAGCAACAGG
rnacentral:rRNA from 1 species